rnacentral:lncRNA from 1 species
AAAAUAGGAGAGGCGGCAAAAUGUGAAACGCAGAGAAGUCUGCAUUUCCUUUCGCCCUUUCUUUCUCGCACCCACAGUUACACACACAUACACGCACGAACUCCACACAGUACUCAUAGAAGAUCCAUAAGUAACCGUUGCGCACUUGCAAUCACGAAAUCUCUCUCUCAUCCCCUGCAGCUUUUCUGAAUCGCACUUUCAGCUUCUCGUUGUUCGGAAGUUUUCCGAGUGUUGUUGUUGGUAAUUGAUGUUUCUAUUUUCAAUCUACAGCAUUGAUUUUAUUAGUAUUUGAGAUAUCUGUUAAUUACUUGAAAAACAUGCCAAUUAAUAGAUGCAUUUUGAAGUGACUGAUGUGUGAAUUAUAGUCAAAUUGAAGUUGUAAUUAACGUAUUCAUAUAAACAUCAAUGGCGAUUUGUAGAGGAAUCCGCGAUAAGUAGCCGCCGCUUUUUGCGUGCACUGAACAUGUUUGUAGGUGUGCGUAGCGAUAUAUGUUUUUAUGAUUGUAUUAGAACAACUCAUAAUUGCGUUAUACCUUGAUAUUCCUAAGCUACCAGGUUUUGUAAACCUGCAAAUUAAAGUGUAAAGUAGUUGUAUGUCAAAAGUUACACAUCCAUUGUCAUGUCGAACUCAAGGCAUUUGGCUUGAAUAUGCCAUUAGAUGGAGUAUAUAUAUUUCAGAAUCCACUCUCUUGACUCAAAAUUCAUUAUUCUGAAUUUUGAAUUUGCUGCUGCACAUGUUUAUGCUCACCUCAUAGCUAAUGCUUAUGUGCAGGUUGAAAGUUGCUCUUCAUUCUCUUCUAGUGACAUUUUGGAAAUUCGGAGUUGCAGAAAUCUUAUGGUAUACGAUUUUCUCAGCUUCAAAAAGGUACGAUAUGCAUCUCCGUUCAAUUGUGAUUUUCGAAACUGUAUGGCUGGGUAGUAGUGUAGUACAGUAGUUGCAAACAACAACCGUAUUUCUGUGUUGUUUUAGACAACUUAUGAAGUAGUAUGAAUAGGGUGUUAGUUUAAGCUAAUCUUUACCAGGGUGCUGGUAUCAUGAAUAUAUUGGUAUGCUCUUUGCAAGUCCUGGUUUAUAUAUUUACCCUUUAGUCUUAAUUAUGUUUAGUCGAAAACAGUGUUCAUUAUAACGUUGUUCCCUUGUUCAAGCUUUUACUACUUGAUAAGAUUUUGCUGCAGCUCCCGUCUAUGAAAAAAGGGGUUUUGUUUAGCUUGUGGGAAGCUUUUCCUUUUACGAAUUACCAUCAGAAUUAGUUUGCAAAUUCGCCUCAUGUUGGUGUUGCGGAGCCAAACCAGUUAUUUUGUAAUUUAGGAGCCAAGUGUAUUGAUUGACAUGGAAGAGAAUCAAUUUUUAUUACUCUUUUAUAUCCUCCGAGGAGAAAAUGAGACGUAUAAAAAUCAACUGAAUUUGAAUUUCAGUUGGCUAAAGAUACACUAGCCUGUUGAAGAAUUCGAUGAUCGUCACUAAUAGAAAUGACCACCCUAAGUAUCAGCUACAAUUUACUUACAAGUUAGACAAUACCUAUCUUUUCUUUCCUAAGGUUUAAAACAUCAUGGUACUGAUUACUGAAUGUUGCUAGCUUGUUCAGCCUAGGUGGCUGCCUUGCUGAUUCAGUAGGACACUGCUCCCUAGUUUUCAUCUGGCUUUCCUUUAGUCUUACUCAAUCUGCUGGCUGGAAAAUGCAACCGUGCCAUCAGUGGUCUUGGUGCCCGUGUCUUCUUGUCAAAACCCCUCACACAAACAAACCCUGCGAAAUAAAGUACUUGAUCAGAAAGCAAAUAAAAGGUAUUGCAGCAAGGAAUAACACUUCUUCCUCUUAGUGACCUGAAUGAUUACUAUUCCUCAAAAUUUUGUUUUUAUGAUUUGUCCUGAGAGUGUAUAAAGAAAGCAUGAAACUUGCCAACAUGUUUUUUGAUGCUGAGCAAGUUGUAAUACAUUCUUUUUGGAUGCCAAAGGUAUCUAAUUGUGCCGUUUCUUGUUUGGGAGUCAUCAUUCCGAAGAAGGAUUGAAUGAUGAUUAUGGACUUAAUAAAAAAGAAAAAGUUGAUUGAUGGAAACCUAACUGGUACACAUUAUGUGUAAUUGUUGAGAGCAUGCAUCUAUGUCUGUGUUUACUCUUAUUACUGUAUGUCACUCUUUUUUCAAGUGUAUACAUGUGUUCUGGCCCUGCUCCAUAGUCAAAAAUAGAGGAGACAGGGCUGAUUGGCUGAAGGGAAUACAGAUUUUUCUGUUCGAAAGAUGGACUAGAACCAAGAUAACAUGUUCAUAGAUUAUCUUAAAAAAGAUAAGCUGUCUGCAUUAAUCGGUCAUAAACAGAUUGGAUGAAGAAGCAAAUAUUAUCAACAUAUCUGCAAAUAAGACUCUGGUUUUAACUUUCUCUCGAACCAUCACGUCAGAUAUCCUCGAUGACUCACUCUAUACCAAAUGGUAAACCUUGGAGGUUCUUCAAUUAUUUCUAUAUAAGCUGUAUAAACUUGUUCUCCCAGAUUAUUUUUUCCCCAGUUUCAAGCUUUGUUCUGAUGCUGAAUGCUUAUGCCCAUUUAACUUGAUACAGAGUCUUUUUGAACUUGAAUAUGGUAUUAACAUGCACACUUUUCGUUGAUUUAUUUAGUAGAAAUGGAUUAGAAGUUAAGACAAGCAUUUGGACCUCUGUGGAUUUAAAGUUUUCGACUACAUACCUCUCCAAAAGCAAUGUUGGAUACUUUCUGUGGUUAGGCCUGAUUAACAAAGAACAUAUUAAUGUUAUUUUACUCCCAAAGCAUUUAAAAAAAUAAAUGAUCAUCCUUUAGUUGUCCUUUUACCUUUAAAUAUUGUUGGUAUUGAGGUUCCAAAGUAAACUGUUCGUCGCGGCAGAUUCCAUAGCCAAUCUCGUGGGACGUCAAUUGGGUUGAGGCUGGAGUCAUGGUCUGCAAACACCUGAGAAAUAAGAAAAAUGCUACUGUGAAAACCUUAUUAAAUGGUAAAAUGCUUAUCUUUGACAUGUUCGAGUGAUGAGCUUAAAGUCGGCUGUAUUCACCUCGUUAACUUGAAAGUAUGUACCAUUGAGCGGAAAGCUUCCUCUCAUUGCCGUUCGACAUGGUAUCUGUUAGAGAAGUAUAUAUAGAGAUGAUUAGAAUUCUCAGACCGCUUUCCCAUGACAAACAUUACAGUUAGUUUGCUCUUUCUUUACCAGAAUUGUCCCUCUCACUGUUUGAGAAUGUGCUUCACGUAGGCUGUUGCAUGCAAAGCAUGUUUCAUCAUCACAUAGCCUACCAGCCUCUUGGGAGUUGCACUUUAUUGCAGGUGGAUGAAUAGAAUCCGCUGUUUCACCUGAGAUGGAAUUGAUACAUGACAGAGAAUAAGUUAUUUUGAAAGCCUGGGGAAAAGUUAACCUAUUUCGCCAAAUUACCCUCUACCACUGUAACACAAGCUACUAAUGAGAUUGGAACCUGGGACUUGCAUAGUUAGCUAUGUGCAAUUGUUCCUUACAAACAUGAGUUAUCUAAUUCAUCAGUUUUAGGGUUAAAGUAGUCGGAAGCGGAUGCUUUGCCUUUAGCUUUUUCGAAACAUCUCCUCCUAUGUAUUACAUUACAUUAAUCUUACCAGGUGUCCAUAUUGCCAGAAGAUAGGAGCAUGGAUCAUCUGGUUCUCUUUUGUCGAACUGCAACAUGAAAAGAUGCAAUUAUCGGGAGGAUUAAUUUCAAUAUCAGCUUACAUGCUGCUUAUAUAUGAAUAUUAAACUGAUGUAGUAUCACUGACCCCUUCUAGGAGAGGAUGAGAAUCCGAAAGUUCAUAUCUGUGGAUGGAGAAACAGUUGAUAGUAAGUGCAAACAAAUUUAGAAGAACUGUAUGAAAUAAUAGGCUACCCUCCCAUAUUGGGCUAUCUAUCAGAAGUUAUUGCACAUCUUUACUUUAUUUUAUGAUGUAGAUAUCAGGAGCAUCCACUUACACUUGAUGUUCAGUUCUGAGCCGGCUUAUAUGCUUAAGUUUAGGCACGGGAAUCGAUGCAGCUUCUGGAGUUAAAGCGACCAAGGCUUUUGACAUUUCUACCUGUUGAAGCUCCAUAUUGUUUUCCAUAAAUUUCCUCACAUUUUGAGUGAACUCUGCCAUAUUCAAUGUAAUUGUAGGAAUUUCAUUAGGAUCUUCAAAGUAAGCAUCUUCAAUGUCAACUUCGGGAGCUUUUUGCUCUGGCUCAGGCGAGGCAAGCUCUUCUACAAUGGGCUCUGGUGUUGCUGGCACUUCAAUAAUAGGUGCGGAGUUGAUCAAUUUGGAAUGCUCUAAUGGUGUUUGAUCAGCCUGAGGUAAGGGCAGCGACAGUUGGCUGAAGUUCUGGAAUGGAUUCUGGCCAGCUGCUUUGUUUUCUGUUGCACUCACAAUGCUUUUCUCUUCUGGUGCUGGAAGGGCAAGCCUUGCGCUGAAUGAGGAUUGUGUCAAAUACCAUAUGUGAAACACAAUGCAUUCAAUCUUUAGACUAGUAAAUUGCUAAUCUAGUUGUAAGGCAUUACUGAAUGUGCUGACCAUAAGGGUAUUGGCUUGAGUUUGGCAGUUGAGAUGUAGCAGUUCUAUCUUAUACCAGAAGAAAUCAGUAAAUAUUAAAGUUUCUAUUGAAGUUGCUUCAUCACUGACGACACUGAGUGACUGACCAAUUUGUCAAAUGGUUCAUUUUUGAGUUUAAGUGCUGGUGGAUUAGCUUAAAUGCAAAUUUGUGUUGCCUAAGUAGAUUCGUCAAAUCUUGUUUCAGUGGCCACAAUUCUGGAACUAUGAUUCUUUGGUUUAGGUGUAGAAAAGCUUGAGAAGAACUAAUAAAGAUGGACAUACAUGAGAUAAAUAAAUUCUUGCAAGAAAGUAUAUAGACUAAUAGGCAAACCUUGCAAAAGCACUUGCGAAGUGUCUACAUUCUCCUCUCAAUGGACAUGCAUUGCAGUUGGGUUUGCUUUUUGUACAGAAGACCUAACAAAGUAGCAAAUGAACUUGAUUUAAACUGUGAUUGCACAUAUACACCAGUUUUAGGGGAGAGUAACUACUGGUAUUGGCAUACCUUUCCAAAAGUGAUCAUAUGGUAAUGCAACUCAUAUCUGUAAUCAAGUAGGGUUUGAAUCAGUAAAUGCAUCACUUGAUAAGAAGAAAAAGUAAUUUUCUAUGUUAAGUAUUAUGCAUGUAUAUAAUUUAUUAUUCCCUUUACAAAAAUCAACUACCUGAAUCUACUAGUCUGUCACACAAAUCUCUGCACUUUCUUACAAUCAAAAUCUUUUCUUCCACUAUGCAGUAUACUGUUAUAAUUGGAUCACUUACAUUUAAUAACAAACUAGUGCUUGUUGCCCAGGCCUGGGAAAAAUUGGUUUUCGAGAAAAGAAUGUUACUUACAAUGUUCUCUGAUCGAGCUUGCAGAGACGUGGCCAGAGGUACUUUUGAAUUGACUCCAGCACUGGGUACCUGUAGAAACAGCAGAGUUAGACUAUGUAGGCAAUUUUAGAAAAUUUACGUAGACAAGAUACUCACAAUUCCAGAAGAUGCAACUGUAGCGAUUCCGGCAAUGGCUGCAGGGGCACCCAUCCCAGUCUAACGGCUAUACGGCCAACGUUUGUGUCGACCUUGUUAAAGACACGAAGGCAUUAGUGGGAACACAUGGCUAUUUUUCAUAUUAAUUACCUCUUCAAAAGUUGGUUCAGAAAUCUUACAGGGAAAGCAAGGUGGUGAAGUGUUAAAAGUCGCACACACUCUACGCUCUUCAGGCCCAAGCCCCUGAUGCUUAAUAGAUACUCUCUGAGACCAUACAUGUGUAUUUGUUUAGUCGGUGAAUAAUAGUUUGAUAAACAUUGAGAAAUUAUUUGCUCAAUUGCAAGCUUACUUUGCUUUGUCUGGUGGAACGUCUCUCAGCCAUUCAAGAUCAAUACUUCCAUGUUCUCUAAAAAUCCGAUUAAGGAAAUCCUGCAAUUGUUCAUUUCUUUUCAUUGAGCAAUUUCUUAGGGUUUCGGGAAUUACUGUAAUAGAUGAAUAAAGGUGUUCAGAUUUGAAAAGAAUUAGGUUAUUCAUUGCAAUUUUCAUGUGUGUACCUUGAUUCUCUCUGCUAGCAUAUUGUUCAUUCCCCGUUCUCUGAUGGUAUGGGCUAUCUCAUUGACAUCUGCACACCUCACUGCUUCCCAGUCCAGUGAAUCCAUUAUGUUUGCUGUCCUUUCUCUUUUCUUACCAUUGUUCUGAGCCUGUAACCUUAAACUGUCCCAGUCAACAUUCUGUUUCUCUUUUCCAGGCCGUUUCCUUUUUGCUUUAGGAUUGUCAUUUGCUCUGUCUAAUGUGCUAUCAGCAUGAUGUUUUUCGUUGUUUGAGUUCGACUUCAAAGCUAUGUGCUCAGACUUGCAUGAAUCGACAACUACACUGACCUCCUCUCUGACAUCUACAAUGGCUUCUGAAAAUGUUGGUGCUUCUGCUACUCGCUGCAUAUUGUAGUUGCUCUCUUCAAUUUGGAUUUGUAGCUCAAAGUUGGCUACUGGAUCAUCAAUUGUUGCUAUAUCCACCUUGUUUUCAUGGUGAUUGCGUGAGAUUUUAGCCUCACUCCUCAUCUCUUCAUGCAGUUCUUGAUUUGUAGAUUCUGCUGAUAAUUUACUUUGUUCAGUUGCACUGAGUUUCCUUGAGAGAUCUGGAAAUUUUGCAGCUUCUUCCAAGUCGUCUUUGCACUUGGUUCCUUGUGCUCCUACAUUAGGCAUCAGACAUGAGUCCAAAUAGCUACGAGGACAAGCAUUUUCUAGUGAGCCUUUGUGAUUCUCCUCAUCCUUCUGGAAGUGUGAACAACAUGCCACAUGUAGUUGGCCAUGUACAUCUGUUUCUGGUAAGAUGUUUUCACUGUUCUGAUCCUGGACUCCAUGUGAUUUCAAAGUUCCUGCCAUCUGUAGUAACUUCAAAAAUGAUGUGGAGCCAGAAAAGUUGCUUGAUUCAAUUCCUUCCAAAGGUUGAACAACCGGAAAGUUAACAGAAUUUUGAGAAGAAAGUACAGAAUUCUGAGAAGAGAGCAAAUCGUCUGGUCCUAUUUGAUCCUCCGAAAAACUUGUUGCUGCAUUAGCUGUAGCCGAUCCAUACAUUGCUGAUUCAUGAUGCACACAUGAACUUUCUCUAGAAGAACCAGGUUGCUGCGAUAUGGAAUUUUCAGUUGGACUAAUGCAGUUAGUGCUAUUUUCACUUGAUUCAAUGCUGUUAACAACUGUUUUUUCAUCGUUUGAUUCUGCACCAGAGAUUCUCAAGAAAUUCUGACCAAGAGUUGGUUGACUUGAUUGAUCAUCAUGCCAUCCAAUUGUAUCAUCAGCCUCCAGGCCACUCACUUCAGGUUCUUCAAUUAUGAUCCCUGUUCUCUCUUCAUGCUUUUCAGUACCAGCUUUUGACUUAAGAGGGAAUUGAGCAGCAAGCGACAUGAAUGCCGAGCUAAAAAGCAGAUAAAAUGCUUUAUUGGAAGUCAAUGUUUUAAAUGUCUUAUGGAUGUACCAGAAAAAGGAGAAAUUAAAAAAGAAACCUGUGGUGUAAAGUCCAGCUUACCUAGAAAGGUGGUCUGAGACAUUCUGUGUCAGGAAAACUCCAACUACAGAGUCUACAACAGAUCCCUUCCAAGGAGAGAAUCGCCUGUCUCCUGGCUCACCGAAAAAUAGGAAAUGGUCAAUGAUACAAAAGAUGACAAUGUUACAUGCACAUCUUGCUUGUUUCUGGUAUGGCCCUUUGUGAAAUAAAGUUUUCUGGAGGACAAAGGAAAAACAACAAGGUAACAUGGAAUCUCGUUUAAGGUUGAUGGAUUGGUGUGCAAUCCUAGUGUUAAGCUGAUCAUGACUUCUAUUGGUAUGACGAGGGUUUAGUUGCAGGUUGUUUUGCAUCAAAAUUAAAUCUAUUAUCUUAAUAGUUUGCUGAUAUUAUAUGAUUAAUGUGUAACGAUCUAAGACUUUUGCAGAUGAAGAUAUAGGGACAGGCUUGCUUCUUCCAUCAUAAUCCCCUUUCUCUUUACGGGACUGUACAUUUGUAUAGAUACGUGUCAUGCUGGAUUUUAGGUUUCUUUCUUGACCUUGCAGGUGCAUCUGUGUUUGUCAGGUUGGAAUCUUUGGAUUAACUUAUUGCUAGUGCAUCUUUAUAAUACAAGUUGGUUUCUAGUGAUAGUUUGUGUUUCUUCCUAUCCAUCUGCCCAUCCUAUUUAGACUAGCAUUUUUUUAUUUAUUGUUGACUGCUUUUCUAAUCAAACGAAUCUAGCUGGGGGUAUGCUUAUUUGAUAGCCACUAUAAAGAUGUGAAAGCUAUGUACACUUACCUUGAACAAGACGCAUCCGUGCGACAAAUGAGUCUACUCGUCCAUGAAACACUCCNNNNNNNNNNNNNNNNNNNNNNNNNNNNNNNNNNNNNNNNNNNNNNNNNNNNNNNNNNNNNNNNNNNNNNNNNNNNNNNNNNNNNNNNNNNNNNNNNNNNNNNNNNNNNNNNNNNNNNNNNNNNNNNNNNNNNNNNNNNNNNNNNNNNNNNNNNNNNNNNNNNNNNNNNNNNNNNNNNNNNNNNNNNNNNNNNNNNNNNNNNNNNNNNNNNNNNNNNNNNNNNNNNNNNNNNNNNNNNNNNNNNNNNNNNNNNNNNNNNNNNNNNNNNNNNNNNNNNNNNNACGUUCUUCUUCCCACCAUUUUGCCUUAUCUUCAUCUGUACCAUCAAUGCCUUCACUAUUUAUAUCUUGCAGCAGAAGCUUCCAUACCCUAGCGGUCUCAUCAUCAAGGUCAACCUUGGGCCGCGGUUUUCGUCUUCUAAUGAAUGAUCCUGCAAAAGGGACAAUACUUCCAUCUCUUCGAUAAAUAACAAGGGCAUUUUCUGCUUGAAACUUAUUCUGGUAGGUGAUUUCCCCAUAUUGAUAUUGAUCUUGGAUGCUUUCUCUAUUUAAAUCAAGAUGCUGCAAGCAUUCUGCAAUUUCUUCAAUUGGGGAUCUCCAUGUUAUAGCUGGUAGGAAACCUGCAUCCAAUUUCGAGCAAUUAAAGUCCACAUCUUAUUUGAUAAGGUUAUCCAAAAGUUAAGAAUAUAGCUCCAACUACCCCUUGCAUUUGUUGUGAAUUGUUGUUGAGCAUACAUAUAGGAUGCUGUGGAACUGACUAGGAUGCUUCUCUUUGACCGCUUUUUUGUUUUCAUUAUUGCACGGGUGUCAGCAACUAGGGCUUCCAUGCAUGUAUUAGGCUGAUAUGAAUAUCUUUCUCCAAAUUCAGAUAUCGAUGCUUCUUUGGCAGGAGGAGUAGGAAAGUGUUUGCAAAUUUCAAGCAGUGAUGCUAAGUCACGUACUUUACUUAUGCCUUUUGAUCUUUUUCUUCUUAACCCCUCUGCUUCUACAAAUGCUGGUACAAGUUCGGGAUUCCACAUUCUAUUAUUAGCUUUGUCAUUUGCAGACGUACUGGCUUGGGAAAGACCAAUGUUGCACUGAGACAAAGACAGAUAGUUAGUUUCACAUGUAAAAGGCGUUGCUGUGGGAUGGCCCUUUUCUGUUCUCUUUUUCUUGUAAAUUGUAGGAAAAUGCAUCCCUUGUGUACUGUGAGCAUAAGGUUCAUUUGCUGGGAGGAUUGCUUGAUAUGCCUGCAUGGAGUUGAAGUAGGCUCCCUUGACAUUUGUGCUGUAAAGUUCUGCUUCAUUAGUUCUAAAAGAAUGUUGUCUUUUCAAGGCUCUUUCUGGUGUUUCCUGGAUCAAGCAUGCGCUGCUGCUACAGUUGGAAUCAUACAGAUUCUUUGGUGUCAUUUCUGAAAUGCUUGCCUGUUUAUCAUGAGUUUCAUCUGAGAAAAUGAUUUUACACUUUCCUCUGGAACAUGCGAUGUCAUAAACUGUGCCCAAUUCUGUCUUUCCUGUUGUGACUUCAAUAUCCUUUCCAAGAUGUACACUAGAACGGGAUUGAUUCUCAUGCAAGUCCUCCACAGUUGAAGAGGGCCAGUGUGAAGAGCUUUCAUCACUUAAUCUACUUUCUGAGUCAAAAUUCAAUGAUUUCCUGCAGGAUCUUCUUGGACGAGAAAUAUUUGGUGGAUCAAUUGUUUCAUCUUCGACAGGAUUUGGUGCGGGCUUGUUAACUUUAUUUCUUCUGACAUACCUCCUCUUUGCUCUUUGGAUUUCUCUGGAACUAGGAAGUUGGCUCUGGGGACUAGUCAUACCGUCUACCUUGUCUGAGGGUGUGCAUAGAGGUUCCUCAACCUUGUUCCUUCGGACAUAUUUCCUCUUUUCUCCUGUUGUUUCCUUUGAACGAUGCUGCUGGUUUUUUUUUGGUUUAGGAGUCCUUCUAGGCUGGCCUUCAAUUACCACUUUAGGCCGGUGCUUCUUCCUUCUUCGUUUCUGCUGUGGUGUAUUAUUCUGUUCAGCAUCCUGUUCGUCCGCCUUGUCAGGCUUGUGACUCUCCUGCAAUUCUGAUACGUUCAACACCAGCCCUGACUGCUCUUUCUUCUGUUGAGGAUCAUUUGCUUGUGCUCUCUUUAAUGUAUCUUCACAUGACUGCAUGUGGCUUGGUAGCGGUGUCUCGUUAAUGUCUAGAUUUGACUCAUCAGAUGCUCGGCCCCCUUUGUUCUUGAUCUGGUCUGGUGUUAUUGGUUCAAAGUGGACAGUGUUGUUGCUUCUCAAGACUUCAUCUGUUGGUGAAUUCAGGUUAAAAGGGAAUCUCGAGCAAAUAGAGCUUCCAUCUGCGUGAUAGGCACCUCUUUCAUGUUAGUUUAUUGAGGAAAUCUCAGAAUUGAAACAACACUUUCUAAAGAUUCUAGUUGAGUAUGCUAAGCCAUGAAAAUAUCUUUUGAUGUUUGGCUGAAUUAAUGUUUAACACAGUAGAACAUAACACAACAAUGUCGAAGCGGGUACCACAUGUCUCAAAAAAUUAACUGUUAAGAAUAUCAGGACAAAUGAGAAAGACAUCACUUAUUGAAUAGCACACUAUUAGAGAAAACACGUCACUGUUUGUUUCACCUCUGAUUUUAAUGAAGGUACCUGAUUCUAUAGUCUGUUUUGUAACUUUAUCAAGCGUUCGCUAGAAUGUUCAACUAAAUGCUAGAUAACUUCUUCAUGAGCAGCCAAAUAUUUCAAAAAGAUUGUAAGUUAUAGAUGUCAGUCAGCUUGAUUUACCUAAACCAAAGCUUAUCAAUGAUCUUAUUGUAUUUCAUUCUCUAUCCUUUUGCAGGUCUUAGUUAUCCGUGAAGACACUGCCACUGAGUCGCAUUCAAGACACUUAUGACAUGCACACGGAAUGUGAUUUCAUAAUCUGGAAGCUUCAGGCAUUAUGCAUUUUUAUUAUGUCAUAACGACAAAUCAAUGAAUACUUCAAUUCUUUACCUGCAUCCUGAGAACUGACAAGGGGAUUGAAAGAACCGCUCAUGGUAAAAUUAGUUUCUGCAUUUUCAGCGGCGGCUGUGGAUCCAGC